CCUACGGGUGGCAGCAGUGGGGAAUAUUGGGCAAUGGGCGAAAGCCUGACCCAGCAACGCCGCGUGAAGGAAGAAGGCUUUCGGGUUGUAAACUUCUUUUGACAGGGAAGAGCAGAAGACGGUACCUGUCGAAUACACCACGGCUAACUACGUGCCAGCAGCCGCGGUAAUACGUGGGUGGCAAGCGUUGUCCGGAUUUACUGGUGGGAAAGGGCGGGUAGCCGGGCUGACAAGUCAGAUGUUAAAUCCGGGGGCUCAACCCCCGAACUGCAUUUGAAAAUGUUGGUCUUGAGUAUCGGAGAGGCAGGCGGAAUUCCGAGUGUAGCGGUGAAAUGCGUAGAUAUUAGGAGGAACACCAGUGGCGAAGGCGGACUGCUGGACGACAACUGACGGUGAGGCGCGAAAGCGUGGGGAGCAAACAGGAUUAGAUACCCUUGUAGUC
rnacentral:rRNA from 1 species